UACGAAGGGGGCUAGCGUUGCUCGGAAUCACUGGGCGUAAAGGGUGCGUAGGCGGGUCUUUAAGUCAGGGGUGAAAUCCUGGAGCUCAACUCCAGAACUGCCUUUGAUACUGGCGAUCUUGAGUCCGGGAGAGGUGAGUGGAACUGCGAGUGUAGAGGUGAAAUUCGUAGAUAUUCGCAAGAACACCAGUGGCGAAGGCGGCUCACUGGCCCGGUACUGACGCUGAGGUGCGAAAGCGUGGGGAGCAACAGG
rnacentral:rRNA from 1 species